rnacentral:rRNA from 1 species
AUUGAACGCUGGCGGCAGGCUUAACACAUGCAAGUCGAACGAUGAUUAUCUAGCUUGCUAGAUAUGAUUAGUGGCGGACGGGUGAGUAACAUUUAUGAAUCUGCCUAGUAGUGGGGGAUAGCUCGGGGAAACUCGAAUUAAUACCGCAUACGACCUACGGGUGAAAGGGGGCGCAAGCUCUUGCUAUUAGAUGAGCCUAAAUCAGAUUAGCUAGUUGGUGGGGUAAAGGCCCACCAAGGCGACGAUCUGUAACUGGUCUGAGAGGAUGAUCAGUCACACCGGAACUGAGACACGGUCCGGACUCCUACGGGAGGCAGCAGUGGGGAAUAUUGGACAAUGGGGCAACCCUGAUCCAGCCAUGCCGCGUGUGUGAAGAAGGCCUUUUGGUUGUAAAGCACUUUAAGCAGGGAGGAGAGGCUAAUGGUUAAUACCCAUUAGAUUAGACGUUACCUGCAGAAUAAGCACCGGCUAACUCUGUGCCAGCAGCCGCGGUAAUACAGAGGGUGCGAGCGUUAAUCGGAAUUACUGGGCGUAAAGCGAGUGUAGGUGGCUCAUUAAGUCACAUGUGAAAUCCCCGGGCUUAACCUGGGAACUGCAUGUGAUACUGGUGGUGCUAGAAUAUGUGAGAGGGAAGUAGAAUUCCAGGUGUAGCGGUGAAAUGCGUAGAGAUCUGGAGGAAUACCGAUGGCGAAGGCAGCUUCCUGGCAUAAUAUUGACACUGAGAUUCGAAAGCGUGGGUAGCAAACAGGAUUAGAUACCCUGGUAGUCCACGCCGUAAACGAUGUCUACUAGCCGUUGGGGUCCUUGAGACUUUAGUGGCGCAGUUAACGCGAUAAGUAGACCGCCUGGGGAGUACGGCCGCAAGGUUAAAACUCAAAUGAAUUGACGGGGGCCCGCACAAGCGGUGGAGCAUGUGGUUUAAUUCGAUGCAACGCGAAGAACCUUACCUGGUCUUGACAUAGUGAGAAUCCUGCAGAGAUGCGGGAGUGCCUUCGGGAAUUCACAUACAGGUGCUGCAUGGCUGUCGUCAGCUCGUGUCGUGAGAUGUUGGGUUAAGUCCCGCAACGAGCGCAACCCUUUUCCUUAUUUGCCAGCGGGUUAAGCCGGGAACUUUAAGGAUACUGCCAGUGACAAACUGGAGGAAGGCGGGGACGACGUCAAGUCAUCAUGGCCCUUACGACCAGGGCUACACACGUGCUACAAUGGUAGGUACAGAGGGUUGCUACACAGCGAUGUGAUGCUAAUCUCAAAAAGCCUAUCGUAGUCCGGAUUGGAGUCUGCAACUCGACUCCAUGAAGUCGGAAUCGCUAGUAAUCGCAGAUCAGAAUGCUGCGGUGAAUACGUUCCCGGGCCU